AUUUGCUAAGCUUCUACUAUAUUCCUGUUUCUGGAUCUAAACCAGUUCUCAGACCUGAACUCCCUGACCAAAGGAGAGCCUGGGUACCCGCGAGGAAGGCUCCGACAGCACAGCAAGUGUACGUAGCAACGGUUCCCCCAGGUCUUCCUCAGGGGAUUUACGGCCGUUUAUUUAGGCGAUCAGACACCCAGGUCUAUUCCACCGUGAGAUGACCAUUUCCACGGUCCCCAAGUGGAUAAUUUACAUGGACGUAUGGAGUAGUUGGCAGAACCCUCCUCCCAUUGUUUCCUUGGUCUCUAUUGUAAACUAUCAUAGUGCGGAAGGCAAGUGCAAUCAUCUCCAUCUCCAGCCCAAAGAGGAAAGCAAAACCACGAUCACAUCCUGAGGUCUGAAGAGACACGGACCACCUGGACUUUUUGUAGAAUAUCACACUGGCCCACUAUGUUGAUGUAUCCUGCUAACCGGACCAGAAGAACAAAAAAGGGAAAGUACAUUCAAGAGCCUGGUGAGAUAUAUGUACUCCAGAAAGUACAAGAUAAAUCCUGUGAAGAAACAGGGUCUUGCCACAUCAGUGAAGAUUGCAGGUUUCUGUGGUCUGCGGUAUGCUAUAUUAUCUGUUCCAAAAUAAAGAAGAAAUUCCUGCAUCUUACACUUCACAACUCCAGGAAGGAAGCAGAAUGCUUGGUAGGCCUCUUUGGGUUCUGAAAGCAGCAUACGAAACACUUGGGGAUAUUACCCUGACCCAUUUUCCCAGUGGCAUGGAAGGCUGCCAGCUCCACGUAGAUCACAGAGCAGGAAAAGGAUCUGCAGUGGGUCAGCCUGUGCUACAAACAACCCUGCUAUGUGCAUUAUGUGAUCCAGUGGAUCCUCUAAGUAUGAGAGUCAUUGGUGGAAAUAAAUACUCUGUGGAGUUUGUAGCAGGUGCCAAUUAGGAGACUCAUGAUGUAGACGCCCCAAGCUUCUGGAAUAAGGCCAUACCAUAUGCAGCACAGAGCUAUGCAUUUGCAGGGGGCUGGUGGGGCCUAUACCUGGUAUGCUACAAGGUCCUAUCAAGAGCCUGGGAAGCCAGAGCUGCCUAUCGUGAGCUGGGUUCUGUCAGAUCCACCAAGUCAUGUGGGAGAGAUGGCAUAAGAUGAAAGUGGCACAACCAGAAUCAGGCCCAAGCAAGUUCAGAGGGCGCACGUAAACUGUUAGGGAACUGCUGAUGGAAACCACCCGCCCUGGCCAGGCCCACUUGCCCGAGCUGUCCCACAAUAGGAGGUCCCAAUAAGGAACAUGGUACUGCUGCCAAAAACUAACCUGGAGAAUUUGGGCGGGGCCAAAAGAGGGAGGACACAACCAAUCUCCCAGAGUCCUUCCUGCUGGAAUCCAUCCUGGCUGAGAGAUGCACGCACCGCAGGGAAGGACCCUGUGUCAGACUAUGGGCCAAGCAAGGUGACUGGCCAGAGACAAUCCAGAAACUAACGCCAUUACCAUAAAACACGAGACUGCAAGCCACGUGGCAGAGCAGUUCUCCUGGGUUCCCUUACCCUGCUGCUCUCUGCCCGAGCGCCACUUUCCAAUAAAGUCACUUGCUUUGUCGGCACGUGUGUCUUCACGGACAAUUCAUUUCCAAGUGUUAGACAAGAGCCCACUCUCGGGCCCUGGAAGGGGUCCCCCUUCAUGCAACAAAACUACACACGUGGAUGGCCCAGAUCCCACGCCGUCCACCACUGGCACCCUUCCUUAUGCUUAUGUAAAUGGUG